GGAAGUGGCACGGUAACUGGUGUGCCGCCCGGGCUUCAAACCCGGUGUGAGUCGCUAAUCCCGGCUCGGGUGGGUUCGAUUCCCAUCCACUUCCGCCA
rnacentral:tRNA from 1 species